rnacentral:lncRNA from 1 species
CCGAGCCCGGGCCUAGAACUCAGGCAGAAAUUUUUUCUGAGCCUGAUCCGGCCCGGCCCAGCCCAUGAACACCUCAAAUGCCAACCACGCACUUGCAACACCCCUUUCUCCUUUUUAUUAGUGGUUGUUGAAUGAAAAUUUAAAUUUCAAAAAAGAAAAAAAAGGACAAAAAGACAUUUCCAACGAUUAUAAACUCCACCUACCAAACCCAAGUGCCAAAAGCUCCCUCUCCU